rnacentral:snRNA from 1 species
UUGUGGUUGGUCGGAUACCAUCAUC